AGCCCCGACGGGGCAGCGCCUGUGUGAGGGCCCCUCGCUCGCCCCGUCAUCAUGAGCAGCCUUGGGCUGAGGUUUUAGGGGGGCCCCUCUGGGGACCCCACUCACUGACUCCUUGCAACAGCUGUAGGAGGUGGACAACAUAGUCAUGAGCGUGGACUCUGAGGGGGAUAGAGAGCAAAACAUGUUUGUCCUUGACGUGAUUAUCAGCUUCAUCGGAGCACAGAGAAUUCUCAUUAGAGAUGUAACACACCAGUGUUCAAGCUCCCCGAAAUACAGUUGAUGAGAAAUGCAUUAGAGAGCAUGGCAACAUGAGGACACAACUGCAAGGAAGACUUUGCACAAGGGAAAACUGCCUGCCUGUUGGCUUCACCGGGCU